rnacentral:rRNA from 1 species
UACGUAGGGGGCAAGCGUUGUCCGGAAUCAUUGGGCGUAAAGAGCGCGUAGGCGGCCCAGUAAGUCCGCUCUGAAAGUCAGGGGCUCAACCCCUGGAUGCGGGUGGAUACUGCUGGGCUAGAGUCCGGAAGAGGCGAGUGGAAUUCCUGGUGUAGCGGUGAAAUGCGCAGAUAUCAGGAGGAACACCGAUGGCGAAGGCAGCUCGCUGGGACGGUACUGACGCUGAGGCACGAAAGCUAGGGGAGCAAACGGG